CUGGAUUUAGAGUUAGUUUUUUCUAGAAAAUGGCCAAAGAAUGCUGAAAUGGGUGAAGACUCUUCGGUGGCCGACGAUGGAAAGAGUCAAGUGUUGCGUGUUGGUUCCUCUUUGUAGGUGGCAGAGAUGUCAGAUGGCCAUGACAGAAGGUAGUGCGACGCGCCUAGGGCAUUAGGUUUCUUUCUCUGGUUGAAAAUGUUUAGGUAGUGAGCUUAUUGGGCCAUUAGGGUUUUUUUUUUUUUAUUUUUUGGGUCAAUGGCCAUUAGGAAAUUGGGUUGUUUUUAGUCUGGGCUGUUCGGGUUUUGGGCCUGUUGUAAAAAUUUGGAUUGCUUAAUUUUAUUAAAAGUUGGGGUAAAAUUGGGCUAUCAUAAUUAUAAUCUCCAAAUUAGACAUACAUUUUUUUUUUGACAUCCUAUCUUCAAUAAAGAGAAAGAUAUUUUUUUUAAA